GCCUGGCUGGCUCAGUCAGUAGAGUAUGCGACUCUUGAUCUCGCACGUUGUGAGUUCGAGCCUCAUGUUGGGUA
rnacentral:tRNA from 1 species